UACCCCAUGGCCAAGCGGUAAGGCAUCGGACUCUGACUCCGAGAUCGCUAGUCCGAAUCUAGCUGGGGUAGCCA
rnacentral:tRNA from 1 species